AUAUAAAAAGUGUGUUCAUAACAAUGCCAGCAUUUGGCACCCGUACUGACAGAUGAUACUGAUAGGUGAACGUGUGUGUCUAACAUAAACUGAUGCAAAUGUCCACUGCCUUAGAGAGUAUCAGAAAAAAAUUCGACAGUGUAAGAACUUUUUUUUUUUUUUUUUUUGGAUCAAAGAGCUCCCAACAUCUAAAAUGUACCCGGAAGUGUCCGGCAGCGCCUCCGGUGGCGGAAGUGUAUCAUCGCUUCUCUCCGAGCGGCGCUCAAGCUGCAUGCAGGUACCGCUUGACAGUAUUCCUGCUAUUAUACGGAGUUUGUGUUAACAGUAUCCAUAGUAAAAGAUAUCUUAUGUCGGUUUAUUACACUGGCUUUGUAUACACUGUGCUGCCUUCUACUGUCAUGUUAAAGUAGUGUCUAUGACCGAGUUCAGAGCAGAUAACGUGCACAUGAUAACGUAACAUUAAUAUUUUCAAUUGAAACACGAAUCUCUUGGUUUUACAGUUCAACUAUCGUAAUGGGCUGCUGUUUUUGUUAGUUAGGCAUGGGGUUGACAAACGUUAGCGGUUUUUUUUUUUUUUUUUUUUUUUUUUUUUUGCUGAAUUUAGCUUAUGUUCUGUGUGUAAGCAGUCGUUGGAAAUUCCUGUUCCUUUAGAUAUCAUUCGAUAGAAACCUACGACCACUGGUGAAAAUAUAAAUCUCACUGGCUGAGAUCAUGAAUAUUAACAAAGGCCAUAAUGACGUUGCACGGCUGUUAAUCUGGAACAUCCAAUCACAUACCCUAAUUAAUAUUCAUAAGCAUAGGCAUUUUUUUUAGCGUCGGUCUUUCAGCCAAUUAGGAUGGAUUGGUGGGUUUACGUCACUCGAUCUAAUGAAUAUUAUAUUUAGAUCCAUUACUGAAUUUGGCAAAGGCACGGCCGGAUGUCAUCCAUCAAUCCAGUCCCACGUGAACAGCCUCACAAAACCAAACCAGCUCUGCGGGUUAAAUGUUGUAAUAAACAAAUAUGUCAUUUCAGCUUUAAACAAUUCAUUUAAUAGCUUUGGAGCAUUAUGUAAUAUAGAGGGCAGAUCCAGUUUUAUCUGUCUAAUGACGCAUAUUUCUAAAAAGGCGAAAGUUCAAGCCUGAUUAUUAGGCCUAACUGUGUUUUAUGUGAACAGGGCAGCUCUGGAAGCUGUUUAUCGGUGGACUCAGUUUUGAGACCAUCAGAUCACAGUCAAGUUUUGCUUUAUAACUAAUUGUAUUCACUUUGCUAUGUGUCUGCAUCAGGAACAGACAGCUAGAAGCCAUCCUUAAUAUUAGUAAUAAUAAUAAUUGAUACAUGUCAAUAUGGUUCAGAAAGCAUCAGAGUAUUCUGUGAAGCAUUUUUGAGUGUCACACAGUUAAAAACAGCACAGAGCAUCCAUUGUGAGCAAGUGAAGCAAUGCUACAUGAUUACAAAUCUGUUCUGAUGAAGUUACAAACUCGUCUACAUCUUGGAUGGUCUGAGGAUGAGCACAUUUUUCAGUUUUAUUUCUGGGUUACUGUACCUUAAUUAUGACCUCUGAACGUCUGUAAAUCAGCCAAUCAGAAUCAAUCAGUCAAACAGUCCUGUGGCGUAAUAUUUAAUGCAUAUAGAAACAGCAGCAGUAAAACACUUUGGUCGAUGAUACUAUCAGUGAUCAUCUUUCCUCAGGUAAUGAGAAAUCCAGCUAACAUGCACUCACAAGGUUUAAGCUUUGUGGUGUAUUCAUGUUCAGUCCUAUGGAAGCCCAUUUCCACCAUGGAGUUUAUUACAGCUUCUUAUAUCAGAACCCUGACCCACAAUUAUGAGUUUAUGUCUCACAAUUUUGAGUGUUUUUUGUGAUGUAUCAUGCACAAGUUUUGUGUCCAUGAUGUUAUGUUAGAACACCAAAAAAUACUUGUUUUUACAGGUUUUAUUCAGCAGCUGAGCAAACAGAUUUGUGUUUUGCUUUAAAAAAAAAUAAAACUUUUCCUUUUUCAUCAGCACAAAAAUAUCACACAAUCAACCCACAUAACUGUGGAGUAAGAAAAGCACUUCCAAAGCAGGAGAUGCAAGCUGUUUCUAAUCAGAGAUAUGGAGGCGGAGGCAGUCUCAUGUGCAGAGGAGGAAACUUUGGCUGAGGAGAGACAAAUGACAGUUUCAUGGUGUCAUAAGACUGGAAAUGUCCGAACAAAAGAAGCAUUCAGUUAAUGGCAACGGGAAACCAGAGGCGGAUAUUAAAACUGCAAAGUUUCCUGAUAAAGAAGCGAUUAUUUUUCACACCUGUCUCACUUCCUGUUCCUCUACUGUCGGCGGGAAUGUGGAAUAUACCAUUGGAGGAACAAGAGAACUCCUUGUUCUCUAUUUUAGUUUUUUUCACAGCACGGUUGAGGAAGGUACAGCACGUAAUCAGUGUCAAAACCGGUUCACCACACCCUCUCAAUGAAAUAUUAUCACAAGCAUCAAACUACUUUCCGUUUCUCUUAGUACUGAUUUAAUUAUAGUUCCCUUCGACAUAUUUAAAUGUGUACUUUGGGCAUCAGCACACACGUUUAAGUUUUAGGAGAACUUAAUAAUUUUCAUUAAUAACACUGACAAACUUGAUCACGUUAUACACCGCUAAACAGUAAUUACACAAUAAUUAAUUCAGUGUCACAUCACUUUAAAGCAUUUCUUACAUCUGUUUUCUAAACUCUGAUCUAACACAAUUAACCUAAAGCUGUUCUGUGUCUCUGUUUGAAGUGGAGAUCUUGACCUGUUCCACCUCACAAUACAAUAAGGUAAAAAGCAUAUUUAUUUUAAUGUACUUUAUGAGACAUUAAGUUUAUAAACGACAAGGCCCUGCUAAGUGACACCCUAAUUUAGGCCGAACUUGGAAAUCUGUUACCCAUUCUGGUGUUUGUGUGUAUCUGUGUGUGUGUGUGUGUGCUUAUUAUUUCGGGGGUUUGUUAUUUUUAUUUAUUUCAGAUUUUGGAUGUUUUGUUUCAUAUUUCAAAUACAAGCAUGGAAAAACCCCUUCAAGAGAUAUAAAACCAAGAGAAAAUAAAAUAGCUUGUAUAAAGUUAUAGUUUAGUUUAGUUUGCCCUUCUGUGAUUAACAAUCAAUAUUUUCUGAAGGUCAAGUGCCUCCAGGUUUCGUACCCUAUUCAAGUGUCCCAUUAAUGAAAAUUACCAUAAAUCUUUGAUUCAUAUAUUUUCAUGCAUUCACUUCUAAAUGUGAUCUCUUAAGCACCGUGUAAUAAAUGUCAAUAACUAAACAAUGUAAGUUUUUUUUAUCUCCUUCUGUCAGUUAGGUAUAAAGAAACACAUUAUUUGUGAUAGAGACUGAUAACGUGAAUUUGAGGAUCGCUUCUUUACGUCAGGACACAAGGGUAAAAGUAAACAGCCACAUUCCAGACUGGAGCCGCCUGCUCUUAUGCAAGUGAGUGCGCAUGCGCAGAGAGCUAACGCGCAGAUCACACGCACGAGCACAUCAAAGCGCACCGACGCGCGCGUCUCACGACAGAAGUUCACCGCGCGGCAGCUUCGCAUCGCGCUACUAACCACUCAACACUGCGAUGAUUUAGAUUUACACGUAUUUAGAUACUUCUUCCUUCCUUUCGUUCUUAGGACGGCCCAAGUUCAAUGACUAUGCAGAAUUUGGGCUGAGAAGGAGAGUCGCGAGAAUACGGGACAAGAGGAAGCGCCUCCUAUAACACAGAAUAUACAUGAAAUAAACUACAGCCAAUAGUUAUAGGAAGAAACAAAACAUCGUCGAUGAUUAUCAUCUUGAAACUUUAAAAUUAGAAACACUACAAAAAAGUCAGAGUGGAGUUUAUAAGGAGGCAGUGAUCUGGGGACACAUUUAUGACGCGAGCAAUAAUCACAUCUGAAUAACCUCACAUGCCCUACAAUAUACCGGUUCAAAGGGCAAAAUGAUGUAACAUCUUAGUAAUAUUAGCAGAAGAAACAAAACUCUUUUUUUCUUUCAUUUUAGUAUCGUUUUAAUACUAGUCAACAAACUAGACGUUAUUAUAACACUAGUGACGCAAUUAUUAUUAAA